UGGGCGGCAGUAAAUCAGUCACGCCACGGUCAAAACAUUGGGGUGAAAAAAAUGUCCUUCACAAUCCUAUCAUCGGAUGCGCACCGGUUGACAUCAAACAUGAAAAAGAUGCAUACAAUUUAGUUCUAAUGCAAAUAUGUGUAUUCUACUGCAAGCAAGAGAUGUAGUUUACCGGUAUCUUUGAAAUAUUUUACACCCUUGCAAUAAACCGCAAGGGACAGAGGAUCCAUUGAAUAUUGAGGAGCAAGCAAGAAUACAAUAGGAUGGAGACAGUAUGUGGUAAAGGAGGGACAUUGGAUGGUGACAUGCUGAUGGUCAUCGUUAAACAAGAGGAAGAAGACCAUAUGGAGCAGAUGUCCAAUGGUCCACUGUCAUCUGACACGCUCAUCAAACAGGAGCAAGAAGAGGGCCUAGAACAAGGCACUACAGUCGCGCUUCAACUCCAGCUCCAGGCGACCAACUCCCUGAGGAAACAGACACCCUGGAAGAAGGAGGAGGAAAUGAAAGACUGAAGAGAGGUGCUGGUCUGCUGUUGAGACUGAGGAUGUCUCUGGGCAGCCCAGCCUCACAUUCAAUUCGCGCAUAUAUGUACAAAAUGUAUUUCAGCAGAUUUCGUGCGUUUUUGUGCAUUUU